rnacentral:rRNA from 1 species
UACGUAGGGUGCAAGCGUUGUCCGGAAUUAUUGGGCGUAAAGAGCUCGUAGGCGGUUUGUCGCGUCUGCUGUGAAAACUCGGGGCUUAACCCCGGGCCUGCAGUGGGUACGGGCAGACUAGAGUGCGGUAGGGGAGACUGGAAUUCCUGGUGUAGCGGUGAAAUGCGGAGAUAUCAGGAGGAACACCGGUGGCGAAGGCGGGUCUCUGGGCCGAUACUGACGCUGAGGAGCGAAAGCGUGGGGAGCGAACAGG